GUGCAUCGAACGGUUGGCACAUUGUCCUUUUUAUUGUUAUCAUGUGCCACAGAGCAUAUUGGUGUUGUUUCUUGAGGUUCUUGUGUUGCCUACCGUUGAAUUGGUAUUUGUGGGUCUUGGAAUACAUGUUUCAUCCAGGUCUUGUUACAGGGAUGAUGGUGGAUUUAGUGCAACAGAUGCAUUUCACAUUAGUUUUGUGUUGUGAAACUAUUGUGGGAGGUAUGUGGUUGUUGUUCUUUUGGAUGCAGUGAGUGCAUGCAAUGAACGUGGCUUGGAUUGUCCCGUUUACGUUCUAAAUUUUCGGUUGCCUUAGAAUGACUUGUGCCUUGGUGCUGCUUGUGUUUUCCAUUUGGGGAGACAAAGCUUGCACCAUGAGCAUGGUUGCGAAUGGGUGCUA
rnacentral:misc_RNA from 1 species